rnacentral:misc_RNA from 1 species
GAAAUGCGAUAAGUAGUGUGAAUUGCAGAAUUCAGUGAAUCAUCGAAUCUUUGAACGCACAUUGCGCCCUUUGGUAUUCCUUAGGGCAUGCCUGUUCGAGCGUCAUCUAAACCUUCAAGCCCUGCUUGGUGUUGGGUGCCUGUCCCGCCUCCGCGCGCGGACUCACCUCAAAUCCAUUGGCGGCCCCCGCGUCGGCCACGAGCGCAGCAGAAACGCGAACUCGUGAGCCCGUCCGGGCGGCUCCCAGAAGCUACACCCCCCCAGUUUGACCUCGGAUCAGGUAGGGAUACCCGCUGAACUUAAGC